UUCGAAUAAGUAGCGAUAAGAUGAGUGAGAAUCUCAUCCGCCGAAAACCUAAGGUUUCCUGGGGAAGGCAAUUCCGCCCAGGGUUAGUCGGCCCCUAAGGCGAGGCCGAAAGGCGUAGUCGAUGGACAGCAGGUUAAUAUUCCUGCACCGCUCAUGAUGGGUUGAUGAUGGGGUGACGGAGGCUCGAUUGCCUACGGGCGACUGAUUGUGCCCGGUGGCUGGGGGAGGACCGCCGCAGGUAAAUCCGCGGCAUACGGUUCGAACUCGGCGACGAAUUCCUUUUUGAGAAGAAGUGGCUUGAAGGCUUCCCAAGAAAAACCUCGGUUCGUACUUUCAUGAGCGACCGUACUAAAACUGACACAGGUAGGUGGGGUGAGUAUCCUAAGGCGCUCGGGGGAACUGUGGUAAAGGAACUCGGCAAAAUGGCCCCGUAACUUCGGGAUAAGGGGCGCCCCUUGGAGAAGGCUUCGCAAGAAGAACCGGGGGGCUGCAGGAAUCGGUUGUUACGACUGUUUACUAAAAACACAGGUCUCUGCCAAGUCCACAAAGACGACGUAUAGAGACUGACGCUUGCUCGGUGCCGGAAGGUCAAGGUGAGGGGUCAGCCCGCAAGGGCGAAGCUCCGAGCCGAAGCCCCGGUUAACGGCGGCCGUAACUAUGACGGUCCUAAGGUAGCGAAGUUCCUUGUCGGGUAAGUUCCGACGCGCAUGAAUAGCGUAACGUAGCAACGCUGUCUCUACCGCAGACCCGGCGAAAUUGUAGUAGCGGUGAAGAUGCCGCUUACCCGCAGUUAGACGGAAAGACCCCGUGGACCUUCACUGUAGCCUAUUAUUGAGUUUGGGUGUGGCAUGUGUAGGAUAGGUGGGAGGCAUUGAAGCUGGGACGCCAGUCUCAGCAGAGCCGCCGGUGAAAUACCACCCUUGUUGCAUCUAAAUUCUAACUCGAUUCCUUGAACCAGGGUCCAGGACAGUGAUAGGUGGGCAGUUUGGCUGGGGCGGCUUCCUCCUAAAGAGUAACGGAGGAGCCCAAAGGCACCUUCAGCGCGGUUGGCAAUCGCGCGGAGAGCGUAAGGGUAUAAGGGUGCCUGACUGUGAGACCAAUAAGUCGAGCAGAGGUGAAAGCCGGGCCUAAUGAUCCGGCGUUACCGGGUGGAAGGGACGUCGCUCAUCAGAUAAAAGGUACUCCGGGGAUAACGGGCUGAUCUCUCCCAAGAGUCCAUAUCGACGGGGAGGUUUGGCACCUCGAUGUCGGCUCAUCACAUCCUGGGGCUGUAGGAGGUCCCAAGGGUUCGGCUGUUCGCCGAUUAAAGUGGUACGCGAGCUGGGUUUAGACCGGCGUGAGCCAGGUCGGUCCCUAUCUACUGUGGGUGCAGGAGACUUGCGGGGAGCUGUCCCUAGUACGAGAGGAUCGGGAUGGACGGACCUCUGGUGUACCUGUUGUCUCGUCAGAGGCACCGCAGGGUAGCUAUGUCCGGAAGGGAUAAGCGCUGAAAGCAUAUAAGUGCGAAGCCCCCCCCAAAACGAGGUCUCCCUGAAGGCACCUCGAAGACGACGAGGUUGAUAGGCCGGAGGUGUAAGCACGGCAACGUGUUCAGCCGACCAGUACUAAUCUGCCGUUCGGCUUGACCGU
rnacentral:rRNA from 1 species